CCUGUUGCUGUUACUUUGGACACUUCUGCACACAGCAGAAAGAUUGCAGCAAAGCAAACUCUCACUGAUGGUGUUCUAAUUAUCCGUGUCACACAAAUUCCCGUGAGAGACAGUCAGGCAAGCAGCUUGACUCUAGGUGUCCAUCCAGUCAGUCGUCGUUCACUGACGAGUCAACUCCAUUAAGGUUUUCAAGU